rnacentral:ncRNA from 1 species
GCAGAGUAGGAUCAGGUGCGUUAAGUGCCGCGCGGACAGUGAGUUGCAACGCGGACGAAAAGCCGAAACGGCUUGCGGUACCUCUUCCGCAUCACGCUGC